GGGACGGCAGGCAGGGAAGCAGGCAGCAGCCAUCACCAGUUCCAACCUUUGUGGACAAACCGUAAGGGUGAGUACACUUCCUCCUGAAAACCAGCUUCAGAGUUACAGUGUCUCCCCUGUCAGUGCCUCCUGAGUUCUUGGUCAUAGAAGGCAAGUAUAUUAGUUCACCUCUGCCCUACUGUUUAAUGGACUGGGCGACAGGAACCAAUUCUGCAAUCGGAGAGGACAGUGAGCAUUCAGGGAUUAUCUACCAAGCAGAAAAGUGAAGAAUCAAGCGAGCACUCAACACCAUGCACAUGGAUGUUUACAUUUGGGGGAAGCUUGUCCCUGUCUACCCAAAUAUCCAGACAGUGCCUUUGAGGGCAAUGUUACCCGGAGUGCACUGCUCACUGAUAAACUCCACCUUCCACCUGCCCUCAUAGUGUCUCUUGAGAGGACUAAGAGAAAUAUUUAUGUCUACUUAAUUGUAUAGAUAAUUUUCUUCAUAUUGCCAGUAGGAGUUUUCAGUGUUGAAAUUUUGGAUACAAAGUGAAACUAAAAAAUUUAUUUGUAUUGCAGUGGAGAUCCGAUGCUAUGUCAUAUAUGUUACUAUACCAUGUGUCAAGUGUGUUAUUACACCAUGUGUCAUGUAUGUUACUACACCAUGUGUCAUAUAUGUUAUACUAUGUGUCAUGUGUUUUUGCAGCAUGUGUCAAGUGUAUUAUUCUACCAUGUGUCAUGUGUUACUACAUAUAUCAUGUAUGUUACCAUACUAUGUGUCAAGUGUGUUAUUACACCAUGUGUCAUAUGUGUUACUACAUUCUCUGCAUAAAAUAAACUGACAACUAAAGCAUGUAAACAACUUAACAAAGGUUACACUAGUAAAACAGAGACUAAAAUUGAACC